AUCGACAAUCCCCGUUAAAUUUCACUUUAUUUUAAAAUUUAUAUACCGCCAUCCCAAGAGUUAAUUUAAAAAUAUUAUUCCAAAUAAUUUAUAACAAGUUAGGUCAAGGUGUAAUCUAUACUAAAGAAUGAGAUGAAUUACAUUAAAUAAAAUUUAAAGAUUAUUUAUUAAAAAUUUAUAUAAAUAAGAAUUUAAAAGUAAUAUUAAAACAUUAAUUCAAUAUGAUAAAAUAAAAAUGUGCACACAUCGCCC
rnacentral:rRNA from 1 species